AGGAUGAAUGCUGGCGGCGUGCCUAAUACAUGCAAGUCGAGCGGUAAGGCCCUUCGGGGUACACGAGCGGCGGACGGCUGAGUAACGCGUGGGAACAUGCCCCAAAGUGAGGGAUAAGCAUCGGAAACGGUGUCUAAUACCGCAUAUGGUCUUCGGAUUAAAGGAUUUAUCCGCUUUGGGAGUGGCCCGCGUACGAUUAGGUUGUUGGUGAGGUAAUGGCUCACCAAGCCUACGAUCGUUAACUGGUCUGAGAGGAUGAUCAGUCAGACUGGAACUGAGACACGGUCCAGACUCCUACGGGAGGCAGCAGUAAGGAAUCUUCCACAAUGGGCGAAAGCCUGAUGGAGCAACGCCGCGUGCAGGAUGAAGGCCUUCGGGUCGUAAACUGCUUUUAUGAGUGAAGAAUAUGACGGUACUCAUGAAUAAGCACCGGCUAACUACGUGCCAGCAGCCGC
rnacentral:rRNA from 1 species